UAGGGAAUAUUGGACAAUGGGCGCAAGCCUGAUCCAGCCAUGCCGCGUGAGUGAAGAAGGCCCUCGGGUUGUAAAGCUCUUUUGUCCGGAAAGAAAAGCAUCGGGUUAAUACCCCGGUGUUCUGACGGUACCGGAAGAAUAAGCACCGGCUAACUUCGUGCCGGCAGCCGCGGUAAUACGAAGGGUGCAAGCGUUACUCGGAAUUACUGGGCGUAAAGCGUGCGUAGGUGGUUCGUUAAGUCUGAUGUGAAAGCCCUGGGCUCAACCUGGGAAUGGCAUUGGAAACUGGCGGACUGGAGUGCGGUAGAGGGCAGCGGAAUUCCCGGUGUAGCAGUGAAAUGCGUAGAGAUCGGGAGGAACAUCCGUGGCGAAGGCGGCUACCUGGACCAGCACUGACACUGAGGCACGAAAGCGUGGGGAGCAAACA
rnacentral:rRNA from 1 species